rnacentral:lncRNA from 1 species
GAUUCUCGAUCACUGAGUCCUAAACAUGUAGAAUUCUACAUCAGCCAUCAGAUCAGAUAGGAACCUCUAAUGUGUGUGACCCCGCAGGUUCGAACCUAAGCCGGUAGCACAGGAACCAAUUCCUGUACUAAUCGAAAUGACCAUCUAGCAAUGGUACCCGAUGUCCGGAUAGGUCAAAAAGUCACAAUCGCAACACUUAGAACCUACAUGAAUAUGGUUAUUGUAUAAUUCAUCCUUUUGACCUCUGUGUUUAGGACGACUCAGGGUUAAACUGUCAACCCUGAUC